UUGUCUCAAAGAUUAAGCCAUGCAUGUCUCAGUACGAGCCGCAUUAGGGCGAAACCGCGAAAAGCUCAUUAAAUCAGUUAUGGUUCCUUAGAUCGUACCCACAGUUACUUGGAUAACUGUGGUAAUUCUAGAGCUAAUACAUGCAUAUUGGAGCCCGGCCGGUGACGGCCGGAGCGCUUUUAUUAGAUCAAAACCAACGGCGGCGGCGGGUUCCUUCGGGUUCCCGUGCGGUCGCCCAGACUUUGGCGAGUCUGAAUAACUCUUAGCAGAUCGCACGGUCUCGCACCGGCGACGCAUCUUUCAAAUGUCUGCCUUAUCAACUGUCGAUGGUAGGUUCUGCGCCUACCAUGGUGGUAACGGGUAACGGGGAAUCAGGGUUCGAUUCCGGAGAGGGAGCCUGAGAAACAGCUACCACAUCCAAGGAAGGCAGCAGGCGCGCAAAUUACCCACUCCCGGCACGGGGAGGUAGUGACGAAAAAUAACGAUACGGGACUCAUCCGAGGCCCCGUAAUCGGAAUGAGAACACUUUAAAUACUUUAACGAGUACCUAUUGAAGGGCAAGUCUGGUGCCAGCAGCCGCGGUAAUUCCAGCUUCAAUAGCGUAUAUUAAAGUUGUUGCGGUUAAAAAGCUCGUAGUCGGAUCUGUGUCCCGCGCCGACGGUUCAUCGUCCGCGGUGCCAACUGUCGAGCGCGGGACGUCCUGCCGGUGGGCGCGCGCCGCCAGUCGAAAGGCUGGCGACCGCGCGUCCGACCAAUGCUCCCGCCGUGGUGCUCUUUACCGAGUGUCGCAGCGGGCCGGCACGUUUACUUUGAACAAAUUAGAGUGCUCAAAGCAGGCCAAAACCUCGCUCGAAUAUUGCUUGCAUGGAAUAAUGGAAUAGGACCUCGGUUCUAUUUUGUUGGUUUUCGGAACCCCGAGGUAAUGAUCAAUAGGAACGGAUGGGGGCAUUCGUAUUGCGACGUUAGAGGUGAAAUUCUUGGAUCGUCGCAAGACGGACAGAAGCGAAAGCAUUUGCCAAAAACGCUUUCAUUGAUCAAGAACGAAAGUUAGAGGUUCGAAGGCGAUCAGAUACCGCCCUAGUUCUAACCAUAAACGAUGCCAUUUGACGAUGCGCCGAAGUUCCUCCGAUGACUCGGCGGGCAGUCCCCGGGAAACCAAAACUUUUGGGUUCCGGGGGAAGUAUGGUUGCAAAGCUGAAACUUAAAGGAAUUGACGGAAGGGCACCACAAGGGGUGGAGCCUGCGGCUUAAUUUGACUCAACACGCGAAAGCUCACCAGGUCCGGACACCGGAAGGAUUGACAGAUUGAGAGCUCUUUCUUGAUUCGGUGGGUGGUGGUGCAUGGCCGUUCUUAGUUGGUGGAGCGAUCUGUCUGGUUAAUUCCGAUAACGAGCGAGACUCUAGCCUGCUAACUAGGCGUUCAGGACAUCCCGAAGGCCCGCGUCGGCCGUCGGGCCUCGUGCCCGGCGCGUCCGACGCGCGGUUUUUACUGUCCGCGUACACAAUUAUCUUCUUAGAGGUACAGGCGGCUCCUAGCCGCACGAAACAGAGCAAUAACAGGUCUGUGAUGCCCUUAGAUGUCCUGGGCCGCACGCGCGCUACACUGAAGGAAUCAGCGUGUCUUCCCUGGCCGAGAGGCCCGGGUAACCCGCUGAACCUCCUUCGUGAUAGGGAUCGGGGCUUGCAAUUGUUCCCCGCGAACGAGGAAUCCCUAGUAAGCGCGAGUCAUAAGCUCGCGUUGAUUAUGUCCCUGCCCUUUGUACACACCGCCCGUCGCUGCUACCGAUUGAAUGAUUUAGUGAGGUCUCCGGACCGGCACGCGGCGGCGCUUCGGCGUCGCCGACGUUCGCCGGAAAGAUGACCGAACUUGAUCAUUU
rnacentral:rRNA from 1 species